rnacentral:rRNA from 1 species
AACGAACGCUGGCGGCAUGCCUAACACAUGCAAGUCGAACGAAGGCUUCGGCCUUAGUGGCGCACGGGUGCGUAACGCGUGGGAAUCUGCCCUUAGGUUCGGAAUAACAGUUAGAAAUGACUGCUAAUACCGGAUGAUGACGUAAGUCCAAAGAUUUAUCGCCUGAGGAUGAGCCCGCGUAGGAUUAGCUAGUUGGUGUGGUAAAGGCGCACCAAGGCGACGAUCCUUAGCUGGUCUGAGAGGAUGAUCAGCCACACUGGGACUGAGACACGGCCCAGAACCAUAGGGGGGGAGGAGGGGGGAAAGAGGGGAAAGGGGGGGAAAGCCUGACCAAGAAGUGCCGGGGGAGGAAAAAGGGCGUGGGGGUUGAAAGGCUCUUUUACCGGUGAGAAAAAGAAAAGGGGGGGGAAAAAAAGCCCCGCCAAACCCCGUG